AGUGCUCUGGGGUCGAAGGAGUUAAACUCUGCGGCUUUGCAACUGAAAUGGAUGGUGUGUGUGUUUGCAGGAAGUUUGGGGGGGGGGGGGGGUUGAGAAUGGUUGUGAGAGGCGGGAGAGUCGACAAAGUGUGAUCAGAUAACAAUGUGUGUGUUGGGCGGCCGGAUGAGAUGCGAGACGUCAGCACCUGAUUGCUACACCCAACAGGUCUUUCAGUCAGCUCGGCCGCGUUAACCUCUUCCUGGGUGUCACUACGAGACAUGUAGACAGGUCGGAGAUGUCGCUUCCCCCACCUCCCCUCUGUAUGUCUCUCUGUGUGCUCUGAAAGUCCCGAGGCGUCUCGCCCGCCCGCCCGCCUUGCCCAACCUCGGCCCGUGUCACCGUCUUUGAAAGCGGCAGCUGGUUCCUCGCUGCAACCUGGGCGGAUGAGUUGAAUACACCUCUCCCUCCUCCCCUCCCCUCCCUUCCCUCCUCUCUCGCUGCAUAGCUGUAGCUGCACGGGAAACCUCUCUGUGAGUGGAAGAGAGAGAGAGAGAGACCGGUACACUGAGGGGCAGAGAUUGUGUGUGUGUGUGAGAGAGAGAGGGGGGAUCUUUAGUGAAAAGCACGAGAGGAGAGAGGGUCUCGGCAGAACAGAUGCCUGGCGGUUUAUAUCCUCGCUCUUGCAUUAACAGUGACAAAUCUGGUGUCACUCUGCCAGACGUCCAAUUUACAGAUAAUGAUCCUUGCAUGAAGAUUGAUCGACGCCUGCGGAUCCUUUAGAAGGGAGGGGGGAGGGGCGAUUUCCUUUCUCUGUCUCUCUGUUUCCCCCCCUCCCCUCUUCUUUCCCUCUCCCACCCCCUUCUUUUUCUCUCUCUCUCUCUCUCUGCAGACGUGGAGCCGGGAAAGGGCUCCUCCUCUCGCCCCGUCCACACAGGAGAUCCUGACAGGGUUUACAAAACCAGCUCCCCCUCCCUCCCUCCGCGCCAGCUCCCCCUCUCCCCCUCUCUCGCCUUCUCUCUGAAGCUCAGUUAGAAACAAAAUGCGUUGACCUCCGCCCUUGACAUUCAGAGUGCCGAGUGCGAGGAAAGGGAGGUUGCAUCUUGCACCCUGUUGGAAUUUUCUUUAUUUUUUGAAAACAAAAGAUGAAUGCCUAUUCCUGAUCCCAACCCCGUGCAUUUGGCCGCGUUUGAUCCCACCCCCCCCCCCCCCCCUCCCCUCUCGUUUCACAGCGUUGACAACCGAAGCCAGAAGUCGGUCGGGUAUGGCAGCGCUGCAGCGGCUCCAAGGUGUUGCUCGUAGUCACUUAAGCACAGUGUGGGUUUGGGAAUGACAAUCUGCUUGCGAGACUGAAUCACAGGAGCGAGCACCUUGUUCCCCGGACCCUCUGUAAUUCACCCAUGCCUGCAGAUCUAUUUUGCAAAGGAACAAAAUUAAAAUCAUGUUUGGACUAAAGCCACCGCUGUACUACCUCCCAGACAUGAGCCAUGUAGCCAA